rnacentral:sRNA from 1 species
UGUGGCUGUAGGGAAUUUGGGGGAUAUUCUGGAUCUUAGCAAAGGGUCAAGGUCAACUCUUAUAUCUCCCGCCCCUCAACUGACCCAACUUGAAAGCAUGAGAGGGAGAAUAGGGGAUAAUAAAAAUUCCAGGGGCUAAUUUUAAUCAUAAUCCUUCCCUCCAGUUAGCAGCCCAAGUCCUAGAAGACAAGGGUGUUGGCUUCGGGCUGGUAGACUCUGAGAAGGAUGCAGCUGUGGCCAAGAAACUAGGCCUAACUGAAGUGGACAGCAUGUAUGUAUUCAAGGGAGAUGAAGUCAUUGAGUACGAUGGCGAGUUUUCUGCUGACACCAUCGUGGAGUUUCUGCUUGAUGUCCUAGAGGACCCUGUGGAAUUGAUUGAAGGUGAACGAGAGCUGCAGGCAUUUGAGAAUAUUGAGGAUGAGAUCAAACUCAUUGGCUACUUCAAGAGCAAAGACUCAGAGCAUUACAAAGCCUUCGAGGAUGCAGCUGAGGAGUUUCAUCCCUACAUCCCCUUCUUCGCCACCUUCGACAGCAAGGUGGCAAAGAAGCUGACCCUGAAGCUGAAUGAGAUUGAUUUCUACGAGGCCUUCAUGGAAGAGCCUGUGACCAUCCCAGACAAGCCCAAUAGCGAAGAGGAGAUUGUCAACUUCGUGGAGGAGCACAGGAGAUCAACCCUGAGGAAACUGAAGCCGGAGAGUAUGUAUGAGACCUGGGAGGAUGAUAUGGAUGGAAUCCACAUUGUGGCCUUCGCAGAGGAAGCUGAUCCUGAUGGUUUCGAGUUCUUAGAGACUCUCAAGGCUGUGGCCCAAGAUAACACUGAAAACCCAGAUCUUAGCAUCAUCUGGAUUGACCCUGAUGACUUCCCCCUG